CGCGCAGGCGGCCUGGCAAGUCCUUCGUGAAAUCCCACGGCUCAACUGUGGAACUGCGGCGGAUACUGCUGGGCUUGAGUCCGGGAGAGGGGAGUGGAAUUCCCAGUGUAGCGGUGAAAUGCGUAGAUAUUGGGAGGAACACCGGUGGCGAAGGCGGCUCCCUGGACCGGUACUGACGCUGAGGCGCGAAAGCUAGGGGAGCAAACG
rnacentral:rRNA from 1 species